rnacentral:rRNA from 1 species
AGUGAACGCUGGCGGUAGGCCUAACACAUGCAAGUCGAACGGCAGCACAGUAAGAGCUUGCUCUUACGGGUGGCGAGUGGCGGACGAGUGAGGAAUACAUCGGAAUCUACUUUUUCGUGGGGGAUAACGUAGGGAAACUUACGCUAAUACCGCAUACGACCUACGGGUGAAAGCAGGGGAUCUUCGGACCUUGCGCGAUUGAAUGAGCCGAUGUCGGAUUAGCUAGUUGGCGGGGUAAAGGCCCACCAAGGCGACGAUCCGUAGCUGGUCUGAGAGGAUGAUCAGCCACACUGGAACUGAGACACGGUCCAGACUCCUACGGGAGGCAGCAGUGGGGAAUAUUGGACAAUGAGCGCAAGCCUGAUCCAGCCAUACCGCGUGGGUGAAGAAGGCCUUCGGGUUGUAAAGCCCUUUUGUUGGGAAAGAAAAGCAGCAGGUUAAUACCCCGCUGUUCUGACGGUACCCAAAGAAUAAGCACCGGCUAACUUCGUG